rnacentral:rRNA from 1 species
UACGAAGGGGCUAGCGUUGUUCGGAUUUACUGGGCGUAAAGCGCACGUAGGCGGAUUGUUAAGUCAGGGGUGAAAUCCUGGAGCUCCGAACUCCAGCAACUGCCUUUGAUACUGGCAGUCUAGUAGUCCGGAAGAGGUGAGUGGGAACUCGUCAGUGUAGAGGUGAAUUCGUAGAUAUUGGAAGAACACCAGUGGCGAAGGCGGCUCACUGGCCGGUA